UACGUAGGCAGCAAGCGUUGUUCGGAGUUACUGGGCGUAAAGGGUGUGUAGGCGGUUCACUAAGUUUGGGGGGAAAUCUCCCGGCUCAACUGGGAGGGUGCGCCGAAAACUGGGGAGCUAGAGUACUGGAUGGGAGAGUGGAAUUCCUGGUGUAGCGGUGAAAUGCGUAGAUAUCAGGAGGAACCCCUGUGGUGUAGACGGCUCUCUGGACAGUAACUGACGCUGAGACCCGAAAGCGUGGGUAGCAAACAGG
rnacentral:rRNA from 1 species